CGUAGGGAGCAAGCGUUGUCCGGAUUCACUGGGUGUAAAGGGUGCGCAGGCGGGAGAGUAAGUCAGAGGUGAAAUCUCACAGCUUAACUGUGAAACUGCCUUUGAUACUGCUUUUCUUGAGUUCGGGAGAGGUUGAUGGAAUUCCAGGUGUAGCGGUGAAAUGCGUAGAUAUCUGGAAGAACACCAGUGGCGAAGGCGGUCAACUGGCCCGUAACUGACGCUCAGGCACGAAAGCGUGGGUAGCGAACAGGAUUAGAUACCCUGGUAGUCCACGCCCUAAACGAUGAAUACUUGGUGUUGGUCUGUAUAGAUCAGUGCCGGAGGUAACCUGGUAAGUAGUUCCACCUGGGGAGUACGCUCGCAAGGGUG
rnacentral:rRNA from 1 species